UGGCUCAGAUUGAACGCUGGCGGCAGGCUUAACACAUGCAAGUCGAACGGUAACAGGGGAAAGCUUGCUUUCUUGCUGACGAGUGGCGGACGGGUGAGUAAUGCUUGGGAAUCUGGCUUAUGGAGGGGGAUAACGACGGGAAACUGUCGCUAAUACCGCGUAGAGUCGAGAGACGAAAGUGUGGGACCGCAAGGCCACAUGCCAUGAGAUGAGCCCAAGUGGGAUUAGGUAGUUGGUGGGGUAAAGGCCUACCAAGCCGACGAUCUCUAGCUGGUCUGAGAGGAUGACCAGCCCCCCGGGACUGAGACACGGCCCGGACUCCUACGGGAGGCAGCAGUGGGGAAUAUUGCGCAUGGGGCAACCUGACGCAGCCUGCCGCGUGAAUGAAAAGGCUUCGGUUGAAGUUCUUCGUGCAGGAAGUUGUUGGGUAAAGCGACAAUGACGUUAUCCGAGAAGACCGUAAUCGGUCAGAGCCGCGUAAUCGGAGGUGGAACUUAACGGAUACGGGGUAAGGAAGCAGGGGCUUUUAUGAGUGUGAUCCCGGGUAACUGGAUUGAUUCAAGGGAGAGAUACUUAGGGAGUAGAUUCCCGGACGGAUUCUAAUUGGAGAAACGAGCAAGGCCCUGGAAGUGACUCUGCAACGGGGAAAGUAACCGGACCCCGACUGAUUGGUGGUUAUGGCGUAGGAACCCGGGUGCGGUACAAAUGGGCCAGGAUGGUAUCGCGACACUGACU
rnacentral:rRNA from 1 species